UCGUACUUCUGCAAUAUUUUC
rnacentral:piRNA from 1 species